rnacentral:rRNA from 1 species
UACGAAGGGUGCAAGCGUUACUCGGAAUUACUAGGCGUAAAGCGUGCGUAGGUGGUUCGUUAAGUCUGAUGUGAAAGCCCUGGGCUCAACCUGGGAAUGGCAUUGGAAACUGGCGAUCUAGAGUGCGGUAGAGGGUAGUGGAAUUCCCGGUGUAGCAGUGAAAUGCGUAGAGAUCGGGAGGAACAUCUGUGGCGAAGGCGACUGCCUGGACCAGCACUGACACUGAGGCACGAAAGCGUGGGGAGCAAACAGG